GAUGAACGCUAGCGACAGGCCUAACACAUGCAAGUCGAGGGGCAGCACAAGGUAGCAAUACUGAGGUGGCGACCGGCGCACGGGUGAGUAACGCGUAUGCAACCUGCCUGUAACAGGGGAAUAGCCUCUUGAAAGAGAGAUUAAUGCCGCAUAAUACGAGAUUCGGGCAUCCGGAUUUAGUUAAACAUUUAUGGGUUACAGAUGGGCAUGCGUUUCAUUAGGUAGUUGGUGAGGUAACGGCUCACCAAGCCGACGAUGAAUAGGGGUUCUGAGAGGAAGGUCCCCCACACUGGUACUGAGACACGGACCAGACUCCUACGGGAGGCAGCAGUGAGGAAUAUUGGUCAAUGGACGCAAGUCUGAACCAGCCAAGUCGCGUGAAGGAUGAAGGUAUUAUGUAUUGUAAACUUCUUUUGUCAGGGAAUAAUGGGUGUCACGUGUGACGCAGAGGAAUGUACCUGACGAAUAAGCAUCGGCUAACUCCGUGCCAGCAGCCGCGGUAAUACGGAGGAUGCGAGCGUUAUCCGGAUUUAUUGGGUUUAAAGGGUGCGUAGGCGGUUUGUUAAGUCAGUGGUGAAAGUUUGCGGCUCAACCGUAAAAUUGCCAUUGAAACUGGCGAACUUGAGUACAGUAGAGGUAGGCGGAAUUCGUGGUGUAGCGGUGAAAUGCUUAGAUAUCACGAAGAACUCCAAUUGCNAAGGCAGCUUACUAGGCUACAACUGACGCUGAAGCACGAAAGCGUGGGGAUCAAACAGGAUUAGAUACCCUGGUAGUCCACGCAGUAAACNAUGA
rnacentral:rRNA from 1 species